ensembl:lncRNA
AGAAUUCCAUGGACAAAGGAGCUUGGCAGGCUACACUCUAUGGUGUCACAAAGAGUCAGACACAACUGAGCAACUUUCUGGGAAGUAUGAGAACCAUGAGAUCCAGAAGGCUCAGAUUUGUGCUUCUCCUGCCCAGGUGUUGACUACAUUUUUGUAGCUUACUAAGCAUUAUCAUGAGUUAAAGAAUUUGAAGAUGAACAGGAUUUGGUCCUGCCUUUGCCAGUCUUUGGGCUUCCUCGGUGGCUCAGAUGGUAAAGAAUUUGUGUGCGAUACAGGAGACCUGGAUUUGACCCCUGGGUCAGGAAAAUCCCAUGAGGAAGGGAAUGGCUACCUACUCUGGUGCGAUAUAAACUCUGCAUGACAGAGGGUGAGAAGAGCAGAUGAAAUCUCUGUCUUCAUGGUGUGUAAGUUUAGAUGGAGUACAUAAGCUAAAAUGCUGUGACUGGUCUAAUUCAAGGAUAGGCCAACUUCAGCUCACCUUGCAAGUUAGAUCUGCUAACUGGUUUUUGGUAAAUAAAUUUUAUUUAUGAAACAC